rnacentral:rRNA from 1 species
UACGAAGGGUGCAAACGUUGCUCGGAAUCAUUGGGCGUAAAGCGCACGUAGGCGGCUUUCUAAGUCGGAUGUGAAACCCCUCGGCUCAACCGAGGACGUGCAUCCGAAACUGGGAAGCUCGAGUAUGGAAGAGGGUCGCGGAAUUCUCGGUGUAGAGGUGAAAUUCGUAGAUAUCGGGAGGAACACCAGUGGCGAAGGCGGCGACCUGGGCCAAUACUGACGCUGAGGUGCGAAAGCGUGGGGAGCAAACAGG